UAAAGGAGGGGCCGUUUCUCUCCAUGAAUGUUCUUUCUCCAUCUUUUGCCUAAACUGACUCUAAAAAGAAGAUUAUGGGAAGAGCAAUUCUCAUUAAUAUUCAUUAACUCAUUAGCAUACCUCUUCUUAGUUAAAAUAUUAUUUAAAAUACCAGUAAUUCUAUUUUCACUAGUUGCAUGGCCAAUUCCUGAUAACAACUUCAACGCAACUGUAAUGUUCCCAGGUCCAGAAACGUAGUAAGGACAUCAAUAAAACAGUCCAUGUGACAUCAGUGGCUCAACUUCAGUUUUACGAAGACUUCUGUCCUGAUGUUUGGCUGUAGUCCCUCCAUCAUCCACUCUUCUGCAACCGGUCUAUUUAUGGAGACCACCAUGAUCUAAUCUAUACAGAUCUAGUUGUCUCUUCUCCCACAAACUCCUCUUUCAGGCAUCUCACCAGAACCUCAGGGUGCACCAGCUGUGGAUAUUACAGGCCAAACUUUGGGUGAGGAUCUUUCUCCCACUGUUCACCACCAAACCUCUUCCUAUAUGUAAACAGUUGUUUAGCACACUGUUGUCUAUAUUUGAAUGGUGAAUUUUUAGGC